rnacentral:rRNA from 1 species
UCUCCUGGAAAACGGGUGGUAAUGCCGGAUGCUCCGGUUGGAUGCAUGUCCUUCCGGGAAAGAUUCCAUCGGUAUGGGAUGGGGUCGCGUCCUAUCAGCUUGAUGGCGGGGUAACGGCCCACCAUGGCUUCGACGGGUAGCCGGCCUGAGAGGGCGACCGGCCACAUUGGGACUGAGAUACGGCCCAGACUCCUACGGGAGGCAGCAGUGGGGAAUAUUGCACAAUGGGCGCAAGCCUGAUGCAGCGACGCCGCGUGCGGGAUGGAGGCCUUCGGGUUGUAAACCGCUUUUGAUCGGGAGCAAGCCCUUCGGGGUGAGUGUACCCUUCGAAUAAGCACCGGCUAACUACGUGCCAGCAGCCGCGGUAAUACGUAGGGUGCAAGCGUUAUCCGGAAUUAUUGGGCGUAAAGGGCUCGUAGGCGGUUCGUCGCGUCCGGUGUGAAAGCCCAUCGCUUAACGGUGGGUCUGCGCCGGGUACGGGCGGGCUGGAGUGCGGUAGGGGAGACUGGAAUUCCCGGUGUAACGGUGGAAUGUGUAGAUAUCGGGAAAGAACACC